rnacentral:tRNA from 1 species
GCCUGGCUGGCUCAGUCAGUAGAGCAUGUGACUCUUAAUCUCAGGGUCGUAAAUUCAAGCUCCAUGGUGGGCG